rnacentral:rRNA from 1 species
GCUUAUACAGGUGUUGCAUGGCUGUCGUCAGCUCGUGUCGUGAGAUGUUCGGUUAAGUCCGCUAACGAGCGCAACCCUCGCCGUAUGUUACAAGUGUCAUACGAGACUGCCGGUAAAAAGCCGGAGGAAGGUGAGGAUGAUGUCAAGUCAGCAUGACCUUUAUAUCCAGGGCUACACACACGCUACAAUGGUCUGUACAAUUGGUUGCCAAGCCGCGAGGCGGAGCCAAUCCGUAAAGCAGGCCUCAGUUCAGAUUGCAGUCUGCAACUCGACUGCAUGAAGCCGGAGUUGCUAGUAACCGCAGGUCAGCAAUACUGCGGUGAAUACGUUCCCGGGUCUU